rnacentral:lncRNA from 1 species
UCUUUUUUUUUUUUUUUUUAAAUCAUAUUUAUUGAAGUUUCCAAAAAUAUAAAAGUACAAAGAAAAAAGAUAAAAGAAAGAAGAUAUUUAAAAACCUUACUUUCAUUCCCUACUUUCUGGAACUCCCCCCCUCCCCCCCCCCGGUUGUAUUCCCCUUUCCUUAAUUUGGUUCUACAAGCUCUCACUCCCAAAUUUAAAGCUUAAUUUGUUUAACCCACUAUCCAAUUUGAAUUGUACAAAUCUUACCACCGUCCCACAUCAUUAACAG